rnacentral:rRNA from 1 species
AUCAUUACCGAGUGCGGGUCCCUCGUGGCCCAACCUCCCAUCCGUGUUGACCGACACCUGUUGCUUCGGCGGGCCCGCCAGGGCUCCCGCCCCGGCCGCCGGGGGGCAUCGCCCCCGGGCCCGCGCCCGCCGAAGACCCCUCGAACGCUGCCUUGAAGGUUGCCGUCUGAGUAUCAAAUCAAUCGUUAAAACUUUCAACAACGGAUCUCUUGGUUCCGGCAUCGAUGAAGAACGCAGCGAAAUGCGAUAAGUAAUGUGAAUUGCAGAAUUCCGUGAAUCAUCGAAUCUUUGAACGCACAUUGCGCCCCCUGGCAUUCCGGGGGGCAUGCCUGUCCGAGCGUCAUUGCUAACUCUCCAGCCCGGCUGGUGUGUUGGGCCGUCGUCCCCUCCGGGGGACGGGCCCGAAAGGCAGCGGCGGCGCCGCGUCCGGUCCUCGAGCGUAUGGGGCUUUGUCACGCGCUCUGGUAGGCCCGGCCGGCUUGCUGGCCAACGACCUCACGGUCACCUAACUUCUCUCUUAGGUUGACCUCGGAUCAGGUAGG